AUAAUGGGUCAGCGACUUAUAUUCUGUAGCAAGGUUAACCGAAUAGGGGAGCCGAAGGGAAACCGAGUCUUAACUGGGCGUUAAGUUGCAGGGUAUAGACCCGAAACCCGGUGAUCUAGCCAUGGGCAGGUUGAAGGUUGGGUAACACUAACUGGAGGACCGAACCGACUAAUGUUGAAAAAUUAGCGGAUGACUUGUGGCUGGGGGUGAAAGGCCAAUCAAACCGGGAGAUAGCUGGUUCUCCCCGAAAGCUAUUUAGGUAGCGCCUCGUGAAUUCAUCUCCGGGGGUAGAGCACUGUUUCGGCAAGGGGGUCAUCCCGACUUACCAACCCGAUGCAAACUGCGAAUACCGGAGAAUGUUAUCACGGGAGACACACGGCGGGUGCUAACGUCCGUCGUGAAGAGGGAAACAACCCAGACCGCCAGCUAAGGUCCCAAAGUCAUGGUUAAGUGGGAAACGAUGUGGGAAGGCCCAGACAGCCAGGAUGUUGGCUUAGAAGCAGCCAUCAUUUAAAGAAAGCGUAAUAGCUCACUGGUCGAGUCGGCCUGCGCGGAAGAUGUAACGGGGCUAAACCAUGCACCGAAGCUGCGGCAGCGACACUAUGUGUUGUUGGGUAGGGGAGCGUUCUGUAAGCCUGUGAAGGUGGCCUGUGAGGGUUGCUGGAGGUAUCAGAAGUGCGAAUGCUGACAUAAGUAACGAUAAAGCGGGUGAAAAGCCCGCUCGCCGGAAGACCAAGGGUUCCUGUCCAACGUUAAUCGGGGCAGGGUGAGUCGACCCCUAAGGCGAGGCCGAAAGGCGUAGUCGAUGGGAAACAGGUUAAUAUUCCUGUACUUGGUGUUACUGCGAAGGGGGGACGGAGAAGGCUAUGUUGGCCGGGCGACGGUUGUCCCGGUUUAAGCGUGUAGGCUGGUUUUCCAGGCAAAUCCGGAAAACCAAGGCUGAGGCGUGAUGACGAGGCACUACGGUGCUGAAGCGACAAAUGCCCUGCUUCCAGGAAAAGCCUCUAAGCAUCAGGUAACAUCAAAUCGUACCCCAAACCGACACAGGUGGUCAGGUAGAGAAUACCAAGGCGCUUGAGAGAACUCGGGUGAAGGAACUAGGCAAAAUGGUGCCGUAACUUCGGGAGAAGGCACGCUGAUAUGUAGGUGAAGCGACUUGCUCGUGGAGCUGAAAUCAGUCGAAGAUACCAGCUGGCUGCAACUGUUUAUUAAAAACACAGCACUGUGCAAACACGAAAGUGGACGUAUACGGUGUGACGCCUGCCCGGUGCCGGAAGGUUAAUUGAUGGGGUUAGCGGUAACGCGAAGCUCUUGAUCGAAGCCCCGGUAAACGGCGGCCGUAACUAUAACGGUCCUAAGGUAGCGAAAUUCCUUGUCGGGUAAGUUCCGACCUGCACGAAUGGCGUAAUGAUGGCCAGGCUGUCUCCACCCGAGACUCAGUGAAAUUGAACUCGCUGUGAAGAUGCAGUGUACCCGCGGCAAGACGGAAAGACCCCGUGAACCUUUACUAUAGCUUGACACUGAACAUUGAGCCUUGAUGUGUAGGAUAGGUGGGAGGCUUUGAAGUGUGGACGCCAGUCUGCAUGGAGCCGACCUUGAAAUACCACCCUUUAAUGUUUGAUGUUCUAACGUUGGCCCGUAAUCCGGGUUGCGGACAGUGUCUGGUGGGUAGUUUGACUGGGGCGGUCUCCUCCUAAAGAGUAACGGAGGAGCACGAAGGUUGGCUAAUCCUGGUCGGACAUCAGGAGGUUAGUGCAAUGGCAUAAGCCAGCUUGACUGCGAGCGUGACGGCGCGAGCAGGUGCGAAAGCAGGUCAUAGUGAUCCGGUGGUUCUGAAUGGAAGGGCCAUCGCUCAACGGAUAAAAGGUACUCCGGGGAUAACAGGCUGAUACCGCCCAAGAGUUCAUAUCGACGGCGGUGUUUGGCACCUCGAUGUCGGCUCAUCACAUCCUGGGGCUGAAGUAGGUCCCAAGGGUAUGGCUGUUCGCCAUUUAAAGUGGUACGCGAGCUGGGUUUAGAACGUCGUGAGACAGUUCGGUCCCUAUCUGCCGUGGGCGCUGGAGAACUGAGGGGGGCUGCUCCUAGUACGAGAGGACCGGAGUGGACGCAUCACUGGUGUUCGGGUUGUCAUGCCAAUGGCACUGCCCGGUAGCUAAAUGCGGAAGAGAUAAGUGCUGAAAGCAUCUAAGCACGAAACUUGCCCCGAGAUGAGUUCUCCCUGAGACUUAGAGUCUCCUGAAGGAACGUUGAAGACGACGACGUUGAUAGGCCGGGUGUGUAAGCGCAGCGAUGCGUUGAGCUAACCGGUACUAAUGAACCGUGAGG
rnacentral:rRNA from 2 species